GGUAUCACGCCGGAUGAACGGACUAUCCUGAUGAGGUAGACUAUAGGCCAGCGCCUUGAUACUU
rnacentral:tRNA from 1 species